rnacentral:rRNA from 1 species
UACGAAGGGGGCUAGCGUUGCUCGGAAUUACUGGGCGUAAAGGGCGCGUAGGCGGCACUGUUAGUCAGGCGUGAAAGUCCUGGGCUCAACCUGGGAACUGCGCUUGAUACGGCAGAGCUAGAGGAUGGAAGAGGGUCGCGGAAUUCCCAGUGUAGAGGUGAAAUUCGUAGAUAUUGGGAAGAACACCGGUGGCGAAGGCGGUUCUCUGGGCAUUACCUGACGCUGAGGAGCGAGAGUGUGGGGAGCGAACAGG